ensembl:lncRNA
UAAAUGUUCACAUAAGGAAAAAGGAAAAAAGUUCCCAUGUUAACAGAGGUUGAAAAAAAGCAACUGAUAAUAUGGCAGAGAACCGAGAGGAGCCACGAGGCCAGCUAGCUAGAUAGCUAAUUAUCUGGCAAAUUGAGGUAAGGGUUCUAAAAGUAUUUUAAAUGUUUAGGUUUCCUCACUCGACUUGGGUUUUGUUAUAUUUUAGAAUUUUAGCCGGAGAAAAAAAUAACUUGUUAAUUAAUGUCAUUAAUGUUUAACGUGUUAAAACAACGCAAAUAAUGCAGCAUCUAAUUUUCCCCACUUCCUGUGGUGCUGGCAAAUUAUGGCCAUGAAAUGCAAUUUGUGUCAUAUUUUAAUACAGUUGUGCAUUAUUAUCGAAUAUUCGCUGACAGUUUAAGUGCAAGUGAACAGAACUAAAAAACAUUCGAUAUCUUGUUUAAAAUUAAAUUUGCACCCUGCAUGCACGCAGCUUAAUAUUUUGUGAGGAAUUUCCGUGAAGUGCAUGUUACACUCUAAAUUAAGACAGUACAGAGAACAUAUCAGCCAACCCAGCAAGAAACAGCUGUGAAGAAGUGCUUUGAACGUUUAUUUCCUUGCCAGGUAUGAUAUUAACUGUUCAUGUUCACUUAUCAUGUUAUGAACAUGUGUUUGAAGCAGGGCUGGACAGUGUGAGUAUUUCUCUCACAUUUCCAACUAAAAAUAGAUGUGUGCAAACUGUGCAAUGUUUUUAGGAGCAUGUGAGCAAAUAAAAAGUAUCACAAAAGUAGCCCCUAUUUUUUUCAACAGAAAGGUUGAUAACAAUGACUUGGUCACAGCACUGAACCAAUGCUGUUCAUUGAAGGAAAAAAAACAAAAACACAUCACUGAUCCACUCAUCAGGGCAACGGGUGUUCUAGACACCACUACCAAAAAAAUGCCACUACAAUGCAUUAUAAAUGGGCUUUAAUGAAAAUGUUACAAUGAAUUCUCUUACUACUGCAUAAUAAUGCAGUAAAAUAAUGGUAACACUUGACAAUAAGGUUCAAUUUGUUGCAUUAGUUAACUAAACCUAGUACACUACAUAAGUUAACAUGAACGAACAAUACAAAUACAUUAACUAAGAUUAAUAAAUGCUGUUAAUAUAAACAUAAACUAGCAAAAUUUUAAAAUCACAUGUUAUAUUUAACAUUAGUUAAUGCACUGAAUGCAUUUGCUAGGUUAGACCUAAGCGAAACCAAAAGCCAAUCUAAUCUAACCUUAUCCUGACUGAAAUCUCAAAACCUGCCUGCCAAACUCACAUGUCAAUAACAUUUUACAUCAGUAAUAAAAUAUGACAGGAAUGGUAUAAUUAUCGUUUCAUACAUUCAUAUAGCUGAAAUAUAGUAUAUUUCCGUUCGUUUCAGCCAACGUGCAUGUGUAGUGCUGAUUGCAAGUCUCACGACACCAACCACUUUACAGGUGUUUUUAUGGAGUAUCUAAGAGCAGCUGCAAUGACCUUGUAAAGCCCAAGCAAUGACUUUGCCAACUGACACUCUUCUUUGGAAUGUGUGACUUUCUUUAACAUUGCCUAAUGUUAGAAUUAGAAUUUUUCUUCCCUAGCAUUUUUCAUCAUGUUGGUGAAAGUUCAAGAAACUUCUACAAAAAUUGAUAAAUGAUUUUACAUUCCAAGACUUUCUCACUGAAGGUAAGCUUGUGCUACUGCUUAAAAAUGUGCUGUAGAUGGUCAUGUAUCAACUAUGCUUGAGACAUAAGCUGACAUCAGAAGUCUACAUGACUUGUCUCCAAGUUUCAAAGCUGUGCUGUUUGUACUUGAGAAGUUAUUAAAGGGAUCAUGACAUGAUUUUUUAAA